rnacentral:other from 1 species
UUCCCUGCGUAGUGCGUAUAGACUUAAAUUUUUAGAACCUACAAGUUUUGGAGAAGGGAGCUCAUCUCUGAAUAUGGCGUGUAUGCUUACAUUUAUGUAAGAAACCCAGGAGUAUUUAGGUAGGCACCCACCUGUGUGAGUACAGGUCCAUAAAAAUUUUUAGACUUACGGCUUAGACGUGGGGC